UGCCCUAUUUCCUGGCAGUCACAGAAACUUUU
rnacentral:piRNA from 1 species